rnacentral:rRNA from 1 species
UACGGAGGGGGCAAGCGUUAUUCGGAAUUAUUGGGCGUAAAGGGCGCGUAGGCGGCUAGAUGUGUCAAAGGUGAAAUCCCUCGGCUCAACUGAGGAACUGCCUUUGAAACUGUCUGGCUUGAGGCCGGGAGAGGGUAGCGGAAUUCCCAGUGUAGCGGUGAAAUGCGCAGAUAUCAAGAGGAACACCUGCGGCGAAGGCGGGUUGCUGGGCCGACACUGACGCUGAGGCGCGAAAGCCAGGGGAGCGAACGGG